rnacentral:tRNA from 1 species
UAUCAAUUAGUUUUAACAUCUACUUUGGGUGUAGAAAAACCACUAUUCAUUU